GACGAACGCUGGCGGCGUGCCUAAUACAUGCAAGUUGAGCGAUGAAGAUUGGUUCUUGCACCAAUUUGAAGAGCAGCGAACGGGUGAGUAACGCGUGGGGAAUCUGCCUUUGAGCGGGGGACAACAUUUGGAAACGAAUGCUAAUACCGCAUAACAACUUUAAACAUAAGUUUUAAGUUUGAAAGAUGCAAUUGCAUCACUCAAAGAUGAUCCCGCGUUGUAUUAGCUAGUUGGUGAGGUAAAGGCUCACCAAGGCGAUGAUACAUAGCCGACCUGAGAGGGUGAUCGGCCACAUUGGGACUGAGACACGGCCCAAACUCCUACGGGAGGCAGCAGUAGGGAAUCUUCGGCAAUGGACGAAAGUCUGACCGAGCAACGCCGCGUGAGUGAAGAAGGUUUUCGGAUCGUAAAACUCUGUUGGUAGAGAAGAACGUUGGUGGGAGUGGAAAGCUCAUCAAGUGACGGUAACUACCCAGAAAGGGACGGCUAACUACGU
rnacentral:rRNA from 1 species